CCUUGCAGCACUCAGAUAUUUUGAAUUAGAUGCAGUGCUCUUACUGAGGGAAAGGGUGUCUAGACAAUAUCCAGUAAUACUAUAGUCUUGUCAUCCCACCCCUCACUUUGGGGCUGGGCGACGAGACUAGUAAUGCUAUAAUAUGAAAUGUGCAUUAUAUUCCUUUCAGACUGAUUUACACAACCUGAAAUACGAUUUCUCACAAUGUUAUAUUGUAGCAGCAGUGGGAGGAUAUGUCAUGGAAUACUUGGAGAGUCAUACACACCCUCCACCAGUAUGAGAGAAAUACUGAGCUACAUUUAUGGACUGUUAAUGUGUCCUGAUACUGAUACACCCCUUGACAGUACACUUGCUGGAGAAUAUGGAUACCAGAGUGGUAGAGAAAAGGGUUAUCCUGAUUACUUUCAAGCAGCAAGUGAAUAUUUUUUUAGAAAAGCCACAGAAAAAUAAAUGUCAAAUU